rnacentral:rRNA from 1 species
AGUGAACGCUGGCGGUAGGCCUAACACAUGCAAGUCGAACGGCAGCACAGUAAGAGCUUGCUCUUACGGGUGGCGAGUGGCGGACGGGUGAGGAAUACAUCGGAAUCUACUUUUUCGUGGGGGAUAACGUAGGGAAACUUACGCUAAUACCGCAUACGACCUACGGGUGAAAGCAGGGGAUCUUCGGACCUUGCGCGAUUGAAUGAGCCGAUGUCGGAUUAGCUAGUUGGCGGGGUAAAGGCCCACCAAGGCGACGAUCCGUAGCUGGUCUGAGAGGAUGAUCAGCCACACUGGAACUGAGCCACGGUCCAGACUCCUACGGGAGGCAGCAGUGGGGAAUAUUGGACAAUGGGCGCAAGCCUGAUCCAGCGAUACCGCGUGGGUGAAGAAGACCUUCGGGUUGUAAAGCCCUUUUGUUGGGAAAGAAAAGCAGCAGGUUAAUACCCCGCUGUUCUGACGGUACCCAAAGAAUAAGCACCGGCUAACUUCGUG